rnacentral:rRNA from 1 species
GACGAACGCUGGCGGCGUGCUUAACACAUGCAAGUCGAGCGGUAAGGCCCUUUCGGGGGUACGACGAGCGGCGAACGGGUGAGUAACACGUGGGUGACCUGCCCUCAGCCCUGGGAUAAGCCCGGGAAACUGGGUCUAAUACCGGAUAUGACUUCAUGACGCAUGUUGUGGAGUGGAAAGCCUUGUGCGGCUGAGGAUGGGCCCGCGGCCUAUCAGCUUGUUGGUGGGGUGAUGGCCUACCAAGGCGACGACGGGUAGCCGGCCUGAGAGGCGACCGCCACACUGGGACUGAGAUACGGCCCAGACUCCUACGGGAGGCAGCAGUGGGGAAUCUUGCGCAAUGGGCGAAAGCCUGACGCAGCGACG